rnacentral:rRNA from 1 species
CGGUAAUACGGAGGAUCCRAGCGUUAUCCGGAUUUAUUGGGUUUAAAGGGUGCGUAGGCGGCCUAUUAAGUCAGGGGUGAAAGACGGUAGCUUAACUAUCGCAGUGCCCUUGAUACUGAUGGGCUUGAAUGUACUUGAGGUAGGCGGAAUGUGACAAGUAGCGGUGAAAUGCAUAGAUAUGUCACAGAACACCAAUUGCGAAGGCAGCUUACUAAAGUAUGAUUGACGCUGAGGCACGAAAGCGUGGGGAUCAAACAGGAUUAGAUACCCUGGUAGUCCACGCCCUAAACGAUGAAYACUCGAUGUUGGCGAUAUACAGUCAGCGUCUAAGCGAAAGCGUUAAGURUUCCACCUGGGGAGUACGCCCGC